rnacentral:rRNA from 1 species
GACGAACGCUGGCGGCGUGCCUAAUACAUGCAAGUUGAGCGCUGACGGUUGGUACUUGUACCAACUGGAUGAGCAGCGAACGGGUGAGUAACGCGUGGGGAAUCUGCCUUUGAGCGGGGGACAACAUUUGGAAACGAAUGCUAAUACCGCAUAAAACCUUUAAACACAAGAUUUAAGUUUGAAAGAUGCAAUUGCAUCACUCAAAGAUGAUCCCGCGUUGUAUUAGCUAGUUGGUGAGGUAAAGGCUCACCAAGGCGAUGAUACAUAGCCGACCUGAGAGGGUGGUCGGCCAAAUUGGGACUGAGACACGGCCCAAACUCCUACGGGAGGCAGCAGUAGGGAAUCAUCGGCAAUAGACGAAAGUCUGACCGAGCAACGCCGCGUGAGGGAAGAAGGGUUUCGGAUCGUAAAACUCUGUUGGUAGAGAAGAACGUUGGUGAGAGUGGAAAGCUCAUCAAGUGACGGUAACUACACAGAAAGGGACGGCUAACUACGUG